GAAACAUUGAUAGGAGGGCUUAUGUGGCUAUGAAACUAGAGAGAGAUCUUAGUACUAUGACCACAGACUGAAGUUUUCCACAGAAUGGCAUAGUCAUCCAAUAGAGCUCUGUUUUCCUGAGAAGAUAUUAGA
ensembl:snoRNA